GGUAAGUUCCGACCCGCACGAAAGGUGUAACGACUUGGGCACUGUCUCAACGAGGGACCCGGUGAAAUUGAAGUACCUGUGAAGAUGCAGGUUACCCGCGACUGGACAGAAAGACCCCAUGGAGCUUUACUGCAACCUGACAUUGAUGUUCGGUAAAUAACGUACAGGAUAGGUGGGAGACGGAGAAGUAUUGGCGUUAGCUGAUAUGGAGUCAACCUUGGGAUACCACCCUUUAUUUAUUGGACCUCUAACUGAAGAAGUAACGACUCUCAGGACAGUAUCAGGCGGGCAGUUUGACUGGGGCGGUCGCCUCCCAAAAUGUAACGGAGGCGCCCAAAGGUUCCCUCAGCGCGAACGGAAACCGCGCAAAGAGUGUAAAGGCAGAAGGGAGCUUGACUGCGAGUCAGACACG
rnacentral:rRNA from 1 species